UUGAUGAAAUGUUACAUUUUGCAACUAAUUAUCAAUCUGUUUUAUCUGUAGACCAGCUGGGCAUUUUUGUGCAUGCAAGACCGGCCUCCGCAAUGAUCUUAAGAUGUCACUGCGGCGUUUACAUCUUUUAUUUCAAGGUUUAAAUAACUGGGAAGUAGCUAAUGUAAUUCACUGCUGAGAAGAAAGGGAAGCUUCUUGAUUCCUUUCCAAAGCCAUCUCUUCCUAAUGAACUUCUUUGGACUGCACCAUCUCCAUGUGGAGCAGACAUAGGAGGUUGCUACUAGUCUUGGCACUGAGAGCCUAAAGCAUGCCUGACCAGCCCCUAUUCCAUCCUGAAUUGCUGCUCUAUUCUCUAGACUUAUUUACGACUGUCUCUGUGGGCCUGUAUGCUGCUGGAUGUUACAUCUUAUCAACUAUAGUCUGUGCAUAUUACUGUCAUCUGCUUGCACAUAGUUACAAGGGGGGAUGUGCUCUGCAAAUGGACCUAACCUGGGCUCUCCAUACAAAAGGAGAUGGUGUGGCAAGCUUCUGUGCUAUGUGUAGUGUUGGAAAGCACUGAUUGCCUUUCUUUCAACACCACAAGUCAAUGAUUCAUCCAAGAAACCAUAGACAGGUGGAUGCAAAGGUCAGCUUACAAGAUACCUUUUCUGGUGAUGGAGGUGUCUAUUGUCACCAGAUGUCUGUUAUUUGAAAUAAUAUGCUCACCCAUGCAGUGGGAUUUUGGAUUUCCUGCUGGGCCUACACCAGGUGCAAGGCUAUGAGAUAUGGUGACGGUGGUCCCAGAGAAGAGGCAGCCGGAAGACAGUUGAAUGCAGUGACUUUGAUGGUACUGUGGAGCAUCUGCUGGGAGAUGCUUGCAUCAGCAAGCAGCCAACUCUAGAUGGAGGCUCUGGUCAGGCUCCAUUUGGGAGGGUGAGUUUUGAGAUGUGGUCCCCUGGCUUCUUGUGAAUUAGGUCUGACUUUUAACUCAUUCCACCUAUCUCGCAGUGGUUUUAUGGGAGUUAAUUAGGGAAAAGGCUCCUUGGGGAAUAGGGCCAACGCAAACACAUACUACCUGCCUUCUCUCAAAUAACUCAAAGACCCUAUGACAAACAGGCUAGCUGGUUUACCUUUUCAGACUUCAGAGGCCAAAGACCAGCUCAGGGAGUUUGCUUCAUGAAACAAACACAUUUUGUGUCAUCAAGAUCCACAGUGCAUUUUAUGGUGGCAGUCCAUCAGUACCUUUUCAGUGGGGCUGGUGGGAGAGUUGAACAUCUUAAGCUCAUUUUCCCAGGCUUCCAGUCUUCGUGCUUCAACAAACACUUUGCAAGACAAUUGCCUGUGGAGCCACUGACUUCAGCCAGGAAUCCCACACUUCCCAAGGAAGCUUGCUGCCCUGGAAAGUCUGUUGGCUCUGAGGCUUGAUUCUGGAUAAAGAGGCCUGCUUUGUAUUCUACUGUCCUGUCAGGAGUGCCUACUAGGCAUAGACAUGGACCAGGCACCAGAAUGGUGGUGAAUGACAGUCACCUUCCUUCGUUUGCCCAGGCUGUCCUGUGUUCACAAUGGAGUCUAGGCUGUGAACUUACUGCUGUCCUCAGCCUCCCAAGAGCUGUAAUUACAGAUGUGAAUCACCACACCUAGGAGUACUUAAAAAAAUUCCUUCCUCCAGCUACUGAGUCUUUCAUGCUAUUCCCUGGUUCAAGGCAGCACUUCUCUGGGAAAAUCUAUUCAUUCAAAAAACAA